GUGCCAGCAGCCGCGGUAAUACGGAGGGUGCAAGCGUUGUCCGGAUUUAUUGGGUUUAAAGGGUGCGUAGGCGGGCUAGUAAGUCUGGUUUGAAAGUCAGCGGCUCAACCGUUGAGGGUGGCUGGAUACUGUUAGUCUUGAAAUUGUUGGAGGCAGCCGGAACGGAUCGUGUAGCGGUGAAAUGCAUAGAUAUGAUCCAGAACACCAAUUGCGUAGGCAGGCUGCUACGACUGAUUUGACGCUGAGGCACGAGAGCAUGGGGAGCAAACAGGAUUAGAUACCCUGGUAGUCC
rnacentral:rRNA from 1 species